GUCUUACGUGGCUGGUCAGUCGCAGGCUGUUCGGGGAUAAAUACAACCAGUCAUGUUGACAUGUCAAAGUUCAUACACGUCAUGUGUGUACUGCCAGCCUUUACACUUUGUUUAGAGCUGAGUUCACAGGGGAUUUUCAUCAUGGGGUGGGGGGAGUGAAAUUGUGCACAGCCGUAAUGUUAUGCAAACACGCCAGAAGUCUCUGUGUCUGUCCGUAAUUAACUCAAGAAGUUUGUAAAAUGGUAUUUGUACAACCAUUUGUUAAAAAUAUUAUAUUAUUUAUUAGAAUUAAACAGAGGUUUUUGACGUGAGAGAGGAAAAGAAAAAGCAGUCCUGUCAUGUCCCUGUAAUGUGAAUAGUUUUUGAUUUUAUUGCCCCAAACCCCAAAAGAAGGUUAGAUGAAUUUUGUUGGUCCUUCAAUAAAAAAUUAGAUUUAAAAUGUCUGAAAACAACAUUUCUCAGCGGCAUGUCCUCAUUGUUUCUAAUAAUUCAAACAAUGUGGACUUGAAUAUGAGUUCAGACCAACUCUGUUGGUAGGUCAGUUGAUAAACAGAAAAUUAAUCUGCAACAAUAGUUGAUGUACGCUACAGGUUUGUUGUUGGUGACAAAAUAUGCAAUGGAAAGCAUGUAAGGCAUUUUAAAUUUGGUGUAGGUGACUUUUGGCCUUUUGGUCAUAAAAUAAAUUAUUUCACCCUCAACUGGAGGCGGCAGAUGGCUGCUCCUCGCCAGCCCUGAUUCUGCUGGAAGCUGAUGACCUCAGUAUCUGCUGACUGCUGUUACAUCAAGUCAUUCACCACAUGGAGAAACCGUGGAGCCACUGGAGGAGACGUCAAGUGGACUGAACUGCAGGCCUCUUGUCAGGGUGCCCAUAGUAUGCGAGCAACCUUUCAACGCAACGCUUUUGUCGGGUAAAAAUGCAGAAUGAAUAGUUAUUCAUGUAGCGUGUUAGGUGGGAAAGAAAUACAGCCUGGUUAUUUUGCAUUAAGGGCUUUGGUAUUUAUAGUGGUGUGAAAUAAUGUGAAACACAGUCUAAUAUCCUCGGGGAUUUAGCAUAAAAAAUACAUGAGAAAUAAACCUUUUCUUGUGUUUCGUGCACAGAAACUACUAGCUUCAAAACAGCAAAAUAUUUAGAAAUAAAAAAAACUGUGGAUCCUAAUUGUCACUCGUGUCUCUUAUUCUUAUUGCCUUCUAUUGUCAG
rnacentral:lncRNA from 1 species